rnacentral:rRNA from 1 species
UGGGGGCAUCUGAGCAGCGACGCCGCGUGAGUGAGAAGGCCUUCGGAUCGUAACUUCUGUUAUCGGGGACGAAAAAAAUGGUGGUCCCUUUGGAGGAUGUUUGAGGUACCCCUUUGCCAACCCCCGGGUUAAUUCGUGGCCGGCAGCCGUGGUAAGAAUUUGGGGGCAGUGGUUGUCGGAAUUGUGGGUUUGUAAGGGGGGGGAAGGCGGUUUGUGUUUAAUUUUGUUAAUUCCCCGGAUUAAGCGGUGCUUGGGUAUUGGAAAGGAUGGGAUUUUUCCUAGGGAGGGGAGAAAGGGAUUCAUGUGGAGGAGGAAAACCGGGGAAAAAGGGGAUUUACGGGACAGGACUAGGGCUUCUUUCCGAAAGGUGGGGGAAGCAAAGGGGUUAAAUUCCCCGGGAACCCCAGGCCUAAAACAAGGAUUAUACGGGGGGGGGGGUGAUGUCUUCCUUGCGGCCGGGAAUAUCAUACUUACUAUGCCUCCUGUGUAGCAUCGCCAGAACCUUAAACCUAAGACGUGUUGACGGUCCCCCUCAGAGGAUUUGACG